GCUAUAGGCGGCGUUAGCCUCCAAGGGUCGUUUCGUGCACGUUGGCUAUAACCGUCGUUUGGAGCGAAAGGGUUAAUACCGCGAUUCCUAUCAUAUCGCGCGAUAUAAUAUAAUGUAACAUAAUAAUAAAGGAAUCGAUCAAACUAAAAGUGUUUGGUUAUUGCUGACAUAUUGCUGCAACAGGCAAGAGGCAUGGUACAUCUUCCGAUGAUAUUACGCUCUGAGAAUGAAGGAACGUGGUGGAUCUGUUGUUUCGCGAAGAAAUCGCAUCGUUCGAAUAUAGUCGAAUAUAAACUGUGUAUUUAAACAGAAAUUUAUUUUUCGAGCGUGACGUUGAAUAAUUUUGCACAGUUCGCGAAAAGAUAAAGCAGCCCAUAUUUAUAUAUGUUGACAUUUAAAUCGGAAUAAUUGGAAAAGACGAAUAAAAGAGACACACUUCGGAGAGAACGAUACACGAGGAAUCAGAAUCUUCGAUCGAUAAAAUACACUGGCGAAGGGAAACGUUUGCGACUACUUUUAACUUUCUAUUUCUGCCAAAUUUAAUCUGCUAAUGGUUUCUUUAAUCAGCUGGACGAGAAAACGAUCGAGUGUCGACGAAAAUCAAAAUAAGAACGUUAAAACGAUAGAAACAAACUAAAGAAACUAAAUAGAAAGAAUGAUGCUAAAUGGUGAAAUUUUUGACAUAGUCUAUCGAAACACCAAGACCGUGUAUAAUUGCCAGAUACAGUACUCACCAUUGCCGGAAGAUA